CGUAGGGGGCUAGCGUUGUCCGGAUUUAUUGGGCGUAAAGAGCGCGUAGGCGGCUAGGUAAGUCCGACGUGAAAUCUGGAGGCUCAACCUCCAGCGGUCGUUGGAAACUACUUGGCUAGAGUCCGGAAGAGGAGAGUGGAAUUCCUGGUGUAGCGGUGAAAUGCGCAGAUAUCAGGAAGAACACCGAUGGCGAAAGCAGCUCUCUGGGACGGUACUGACGCUGAGGCGCGAAAGCGUGGGGAGCGAACAGGAUUAGAUACCCUGGUAGUCCACGCCGUAAACGAUGGGUGCUAGGUGUGAGCGGUGUCGACUCCGCUCGUGCCGAAGCUAACGCAUUAAGCACCCCGCCUGGGAGUACGGCCGCAAGGCUA
rnacentral:rRNA from 1 species